rnacentral:rRNA from 1 species
UGAGCGGCGGACGGGUGAGUAACGCGUGGGUAACCUGCCUCAUGCAGGGGGAUAACAGUUGGAAACGGCUGCUAAUACCGCAUAAGCGCACAGUACCGCACGGUACGGUGUGAAAAACUCCGGUGGUAUGAGAUGGACCCGCGUCUGAUUAGGUAGUUGGUGGGGUAACGGCCUACCAAGCCGACGAUCAGUAGCCGACCUGAGAGGGUGACCGGCCACAUUGGGACUGAGACACGGCCCAA